rnacentral:rRNA from 1 species
ACGAACGCUGGCGGCGUGCCUAAUACAUGCAAGUAGAACGCACAGUUUAUACCGUAGCUUGCUACACCAUAGACUGUGAGUUGCGAACGGGUGAGUAACGCGUAGGUAACCUGCCUGGUAGCGGGGGAUAACUAUUGGAAACGAUAGCUAAUACCGCAUAAUAUUAAUUAUUGCAUGAUAAUUAAUUGAAAGGUGCAAUUGCACCACUACCAGAUGGACCUGCGUUGUAUUAGCUAGUAGGUGAGGUAACGGCUCACCUAGGCGACGAUACAUAGCCGACCUGAGAGGGUGAUCGGCCACACUGGGACUGAGAAACGGCCCAGACUCCUACGGGAGGCAGCAGUAGGGAAUCUUCGGCAAUGGACGAAAGUCUGACCGAGCAACGCCGCGUGAGUGAAGAAGGUUUUCGGAUCGUAAAGCUCUGUUGUAAGAGAAGAACGGGUGUGAGAGUGGAAAGUUCACACUGUGACGGUAUCUGACCAGAAAGGGACGGCUAACUACGUG